rnacentral:tRNA from 1 species
AUUUAUGUAGUUUAAUUAUAUAGAAUAAUAAUUUGUGGAAUUAUUGGUGAAUAUGUAUUCUUUAAAUC